rnacentral:tRNA from 1 species
GGUGAGGUGGCCGAGAGGCUGAAGGCGCUCCCCUGCUAAGGGAGUAUACGGUUAAAAGCUGUAUCGAGGGUUCGAAUCCCUCCCUCACCGCCA